ACUCCAGAGAUGGAGCGUUCCUUCGGGGACAAGGUGACAGGUGGUGCAUGGUUGUCGUCAGCUCGUGUCGUGAGAUGUUGGGUUAAGUCCCGCAACGAGCGCAACCCUUAUUACUAGUUGCCAGCAUUCAGUUGGGCACUCUAGUGAGACUGCCGGUGACAAACCGGAGGAAGGUGGGGAUGACGUCAAAUCAUCAUGCCCCUUAUGACCUGGGCUACACACGUGCUACAAUGGCGUAUACAACGAGUUGCCAACCCGCGAGGGUGAGCUAAUCUCUUAAAGUACGUCUCAGUUCGGAUUGUAGGCUGCAACUCGCCUACAUGAAGUCGGAAUCGCUAGUAAUCGCGGAUCAGCACGCCGCGGUGAAUACGUUCCCGGGUCUUGUACAC
rnacentral:rRNA from 1 species